GUUUUAACAACGUGGUGGUGAGGACUGUGGGCAGAAGAGCAGCCUCCCCUGGAGAAGGCUGCAGAGAAGCAGAAUCAUUAGGAACACACCACGUGCCUAGCCAUGUGUUAACCACUUGAAUAACGACAGCGUUUGGCCCUGCUCUGAGGGUCCCUGGAACCUUUUUGAGCACCCAUCUGUGCUGCCAGACCUUGAAGGGUUUACUGUUUCUCUCUGCUCUGUUGGCUAAGCUCUGCUCACACAGGGAUAAUGAAGGUCUCAUUUGCCUCCGACAAUAUGGUGCCUUUCUGCAUAAUUUACAUGUUUUCUUCAAGGCUCAGACACUAAGUAAUGAGAUGGACCUCACAGUCUUGCAACUAACAUGGGAACCAGUAAUCUCAUGCCAGAGGAAGCACUCCUGA
rnacentral:lncRNA from 1 species